UGGGGAAUAUUGGACAAUGCGGGAAACCGUGAUCCAGCAAUGCCGCGUGAGUGAUGAAGGCCUUAGGGUUGUAAAGCUCUUUUACCAGGGAUGAUAAUGACAGUACCUGGAGAAUAAGCUCCGGCUAACUCCGUGCCAGCAGCCGCGGUAAUACGGAGGGGGCUAGCGUUGUUCGGAAUUACUGGGCGUAAAGCGCACGUAGGCGGAUUGGAAAGUUAGAGGUGAAAUCCCAGGGCUCAACCCUGGAACUGCCUUUAAAACUAUCAGUCUAGAGUUCGAGAGAGGUGAGUGGAAUUCCGAGUGUAGAGGUGAAAUUCGUAGAUAUUCGGAGGAACACCAGUGGCGAAGGCGGCUCACUGGCUCGAUACUGACGCUGAGGUGCGAAAGCGUGGGGAGCAAACAGGAUUAGAUACCCCGGUAGUCC
rnacentral:rRNA from 1 species